rnacentral:rRNA from 1 species
AACGAACGCUGGCGGCACGUUUUAAGCAUGCAAGUCGAAUGGCAGCAGGGGCAACUCUGUGAGAAUGGCGAACGUGUGCGUAACACGUAGCUGAUCUGCCUUGAGGAUGGGGAUAGCCUGUGGAAACACAGGGUAAUACCGAAUAAGCUGACGGGACUUUGGUUUUGUUAGUAAAGGUGCUACGGCACCGCCUUGAGAGGAGCAUGCGGCUGAUUAGCUAGUUGGUGGGGUAAAGGCCUACCAAAGCGCCGCUCAGUAGCCGGCCUGUGCGGGUGGACGGCCACACUGGGACUGAGAAACGGCCCAGACUCCUACGGGAGGCAGCAGGUAAGAAUCUUCCGCAAUGGGCGAAAGCCGGACGGAGCGAUGCCGCGUGAUCGAUGAAGGUCGAGAGAUUGUAAAGAUCUUUUCUACAUGAGGAAUAAGUCUGGGAGGGAAUGCCUGGAUGAUGACGGUAGUGUAGGAAGAAGCCCCGGCUAAUUACGUGCCAGCCGCCGCAGUAA